GUCAUUGUGUUUAUAGUAAAUAUCAGUUAUUAAUAUUUUCCAACUUCAUCUAUAUACCUACCUCCCUAUACGGAAGUUAACAUUUAUCCAGUCUCCAAACGAGCUCUAGCCACUCUGUCAUUGCCCUGGCUAUCCCUUUCCCUGGGCUCAAAUUUCAGCAGAUGUGCACAUCUAUGACAUUAUGAAAGCAUCUACACCAGUUUCCCUCAAAAUUCUUGAGCAUCCUGAGGCAAAGGAAACAAAAGUAAAAGUGAACUAUUGGGAC